rnacentral:rRNA from 1 species
GAUGCCCUGGCAGUCAGAGGCGAUGAAGGGCGUGCUAAUCUGCGAUAAGCGCCGGUAAGGUGAUAUGAACCGUUAUAACCGGCGAUACCCGAAUGGGGAAACCCAGUGUGAUUCGUCACACUAUCAUUAACUGAAUCCAUAGGUUAAUGAGGCGAACCGGGGGAACUGAAACAUCUAAGUACCCCGAGGAAAAGAAAUCAACCGAGAUUCCCCCAGUAGCGGCGAGCGAACGGGGAGGAGCCCAGAGCCUGAAUCAGCAUGUGUGUUAGUGGAAGCGUCUGGAAAGGCGCGCGAUACAGGGUGACAGCCCCGUACACAAAAGCGCAUGUGCUGUGAGCUCGAUGAGUAGGGCGGGACACGUGGUAUCCUGUCUGAAUAUGGGGGGACCAUCCUCCAAGGCUAAAUACUCCUGACUGACCGAUAGUGAACCAGUACCGUGAGGGAAAGGCGAAAAGAACCCCGGCGAGGGGAGUGAAAAAGAACCUGAAACCGUGUACGUACAAGCAGUGGGAGCACCCUUCGGGGUGUGACUGCGUACCUUUUGUAUAAUGGGUC